GCAAUUGCUAAUUUUUCAUAUUGAAUUAAAUUGUAGUCUUGGCCAUGGUUUGGUUUGGAACUGAAAUCAUAUUAGAACCGACUCGAUCAUGUCAAACUUGAGUCCAAAAUCGAUAAAUGUUUCAUCGGCUCCAAAUCAUACCAAAAUUGUCUACAACCCUCUUGGUCUUGGUCACCUCCCUUGUAUGAACCGACUUGAGAUCAACAGUCCAAUCCUAGUUGAACUAAAAAAAUAAAAGGAAGAGGAAAAUUUGAAUUAUGUUUUUAAUAGUCAUAUGACCGUUGCCUCUACUAAUAGUGAUCAUUUU
rnacentral:misc_RNA from 1 species